UACAGAGGUGGCAAGCGUUGUUCGGAAUUACUGGGCGUAAAGGGCGCGUAGGCGGUUCGUUAAGUCCUGUGUGAAAUCCCCCGGCUCAACCUGGGGAACUGCGACAGGAAACUAGCGGGCUUGAGUUCGGGAGGAGGGAAGCGGGAAUUCCGGGUGUAGCGGUGAAAUGCGUAGAUAUCCGGAGGAACACCGGUGGCGAAGG
rnacentral:rRNA from 1 species